GAUGAAGAACGUAGCGAAAUGCGAUACGUAAUGUGAAUUGCAAAUUCAGUGAAUCAUCGAGUCUUUGAACGCACAUUGCGCCCCCUGGUAUUCCGGGGGGCAUGCCUGUCCGAGCGUCAUUGCUGCCCUCAAGCACGGCUUGUGUGUUGGGCCCCGUCCUCCGAUCCCGGGGGACGGGCCCGAAAGGCAGCGGCGGCACCGCGUCCGGUCCUCGAGCGUAUGGGGCUUUGUCACCCGCUCUGUAGGCCCGGCCGGCGCUUGCCGAUCAACCCAAAUUUUUAUCCAGGUUGACCUCGGAUCACGUAGGGAUACCCGCUGAACUUAAGCAUAUCAUAAGCGGAGGA
rnacentral:misc_RNA from 1 species